rnacentral:rRNA from 1 species
UACGGAGGAUCCAAGCGUUAUCCGGAUUUAUUGGGUUUAAAGGGUGCGUAGGCGGGUUAUUAAGUCAGUGGUGAAAGCCUGCAGCUUAACUGCAGAAUUGCCAUUGAUACUGAUGAUCUUGAGUAUAGUUGAGGUAGGCGGAAUGUGUCAUGUAGCGGUGAAAUGCUUAGAUAUGACACAGAACACCGAUUGCGAAGGCAGCUUGCUAAGCUAUAACUGACGCUGAGGCACGAAAGCGUGGGGAUCAAACAGG